UAGGAAUUGCCUGUUUACUUAUGUUGGAAUCAUAAGGAUUGACGGGCGGGGCUGGUCUAUAUGAUUCUGAAUUGGUGGAUUAUCCUUUUUGUCUAGUGGAAAAAUAUGCUAAGGUCGAACCAUGACAGUGAUUGUUGUGGUCAAGUGUUUGAAAGUACUAAUCUCAUACCUAGUAUGGGAUGGGGAAGUCUAGUACCUGAUUGAACUGGGACGUGGGCGUACCUCCCCACUAUCUCUGGAACUUGGUUCCCCUGCUGCAGCAUGUGGGUACAAGUGCAGUCACGGUACGACGAUGUUCCGG
rnacentral:lncRNA from 1 species